AUUGAACGCUGGCGGCAGGCCUAACACAUGCAAGUCGAGCGGAUGAAGGGAGCUUGCUCCUGGAUUCAGCGGCGGACGGGUGAGUAAUGCCUAUGAAUCUGCCUGGUAGUGGGGGAUAACGUCCGGAAACGGGCGCUAAUACCGCAUACGUCCUGUGGUAGAAAGUGGGGGAUCUUCGGACCUCACGCUAUCAUAUGACCCUAGGUCGGAUUAGCUAGUUGGUGGGGUAAAGGCCUACCAAGGCGACGAUCCGUAACUGGUCUGAGAGGAUGAUCAGUAAAACUGGAACUGAGACACGGUCCAGACUCCUACGGGAGGCAGCAGUGGGGAAUAUUGGACAAUGGGCGAAAGCCUGAUACAGCCAAGCCGCGUGUGUGAAGAAGGUCUUCGGAUUGUAAAGCACGUUAAGUUGGGAGGAAGGGAAGUAAGUUAAUACCUUGCUGUUUUGACGUUACCAAAAGAAUAAGCACCGGCUAACUUCGUG
rnacentral:rRNA from 1 species